UGUGUGUGUGUGUGUGUGUGGUGUUGCAAAUUCACACAAAGUUCCCUGUUGCUUCCUCUUCCUCUUCAUUUCAGGAACAUCUCUAAACUAAUGUCCACGUCUGAUGGACAGUGGACGGUAUAUUUCUGUCUUUUCUCUCAGAGAUUGUGGAUUAACAUGAGCUGAGGAACCGUCUGAAUGAUCACCAGGAACCUCAGGAGGAGGACAGAAUUCCUGCCAGAGGACAGCUGCACACGCUGUACACGCUGCACACGCUGCAUACGCUGCAUACGCUGCAUACGCUGCCGCCAUCGCUGCUGCAGCUGGUGAUGAUGAUGAUGAUGAUGUCAUGGACUGGCAAUCUGCAGGGGAGGAACCGAUGGACUGGGAAUCUGCAGGGACAGUAAGUAACUUCCUGAAGAAAUAGUUUUUAAUCUGAUUCUAGUUAUAAUGUGUGUUUGUGUAUGUUGUUCCACUGGUGACUGAUCUCUUCUCUUUGCUGGACCUGCAGGUCUUCCCACUGUCGAUCAGUGUUGGUAACACUGAGACUAUUACACUCAACUUCAGAAUCUCCUGAAGAUCUGAUCAAGUGGUGCUGACCCAACAACCUCAACAACUUCCGUCCUAUAAUCUUCCCUUCAUCUCCAAAACUACCUCCUAUAGCUGACUCUGGACUACUCAUCCUCCUCGACCUGAGUGCAGCCUUUGAUACCAUCUGUCCCACCACCCUCCUCAACAGACUAUCUCCCAUCGGCAUCACCCACACUCCGUUAAGCGUGUUUUACAGUAACCGCCCAGCCCAUGCUGGCGCGCGCAUAUGUGACGUCAUGAAAUGGCGUCACAUAUGCGUGACGCUAAUCCCUUGGCCUUUGGAAUUAAAAUAGCCCCACAUCAUCACAUACCCUUCACCAUACCUACAGAUUGGUAUGGGGUACUUUGUAAUGGCAAAAUUAUAUUUAAGCAUGAUUCUUUAUAUUCUUGUCUUAUUUCUGUUUGACUUUGUCUCCCAAUGCUGAAAGUGAGUUUUUCUUAUUCUCACAUGUUGAAAGUAAGAGCCACAAAGUCUGGGACCGUAAUGUCUGACUCUGAACAGAUAGGGGCUACAAGGUCCCCCUAAACUAUCUGUUAUUUCUCCGUGGAUAGUCCAGACUUGAACGGGAUGUCUAACCUUGGGGUAGAAAGUGGUACAGAGGGGAAGAAGAGAAGUGGCUCCUGAAUGUCUGACUGUGUUUGAUUGUAAGAAAUGUUGAGUCAUGUUUAGAAAGGGGGGCAUGUCUUUCUAUCUCACUGGAGAUGCAUAUAUACUGGUGCUUUUUCUUAUUUGUGGAAUACAUUUUUCCAAACUGCUGUGCCUUUUGUGAAAUUGUGUUACUCCUAUAUUCUUGCUUAUAGUAUAUUGUAUAGUAUAGUAUAGUUUAUAAU